GGAUAGCACUAUUUUGCUAUCCCCGGCCAAUAACACAAUGACACGUGAAAAAAUUAUCCUACAUGUCAUUACGUUAUUGGUUGGGGAUAGCAAAAAGUGUUAUACCU
rfam:Prunus persica cultivar Lovell chromosome G1, whole genome shotgun sequence.